UACGUAGGGGGCAAGCGUUGUCCGGAAUCACUGGGCUUAAAGCGUGUGUAGGCGGAUCGUUAAGUACCUUGUGAAAUCCCACGGCUUAACCGUGGAACUGCUCGGUAUACUGGCGAUCUUGAGCCACUUAGGGGCUACCGGAACAAAUGGUGGAGCGGUGAAAUGCGUAGAUAUCCGGAGGAACACCGGUGGCGAAGGCGGCUUCCUGGACCGACACUGACGCUGAGGCGCGAAAGCUAGGGGAGCAAACGGGG
rnacentral:rRNA from 1 species